UACGAAGGGUGCUAGCGUUGUUCGGAAUUACUGGGCGUAAAGCGCACGUAGGCGGGUCGUUAAGUCAGGGGUGAAAUCCCGGAGCUCAACUCCGGAACUGCCUUUGAUACUGGCGAUCUUGAGAUCGGAAGAGGUGAGUGGAAUUCCCAGUGUAGAGGUGAAAUUCGUAGAUAUUGGGAAGAACACCGGUGGCGAAGGCGGCGACCUGGUCCUUGACUGACGCUGAGGCGCGAAAGCGUGGGGAGCAAACAGG
rnacentral:rRNA from 1 species